ACAAGGUUUCCGUAGGUGAACCUGCGGAAGGAUCAUUAUUGAAAAUAAACCUGAUGGGUUGCUGCUGGUUCUCUAGGGAGCAUGUGCACGCUUGUCGUCUUUAUAUCUCCACCUGUGCACCUUUUGUAGACCUGGAUGUCUCUCUGAGUGCUAGUCACUCAGGUUUGAGGAUUGACUUCAUGUCUCUCCUUACAUUUUCAGGCCUAUGUUUCUUCAUAUACCCCAAUGUAUGUCUUAGAAUGUAAUCAAUGGGCCUUUGUGCCUAUAAAUCUAUACAACUUUCAGCAACGGAUCUCUUGGCUCUCGCAUCGAUGAAGAACGCAGCGAAAUGCGAUAAGUAAUGUGAAUUGCAGAAUUCAGUGAAUCAUCGAAUCUUUGAACGCACCUUGCGCUCCUUGGUAUUCCGAGGAGCAUGCCUGUUUGAGUGUCAUUAAUAUAUCAACCUCUUCAGCUUUUGCUUGUUGAGUGUUGGAUGUGGGGGUUCAUUUUUUUUGCUGGCCUUUUAGCAAGGUCAGCUCCCCUGAAAUGCAUUAGCGGAACAAUUUGCAGACCGUUCAUUGGUGUGAUAACUAUCUACGCUAUUGACGUGAAGCAGUUCAGCUUCUAACUGUCUAUUGACUUGGACAACUUUUCAUUAAUGUGACCUCAAAUCAGGUAGGACUACCCGCUGAACUUAAG
rnacentral:rRNA from 1 species